UACAGAGGUCCCAAGCGUUGUUCGGAUUCACUGGGCGUAAAGGGUGCGUAGGCGGUCGGGUAAGUCUGAUGUGAAAUCUCACAGCUUAACUGUGAAACUGCAUUGGAUACUAUCCGGCUCGAGGAAUGGAGGGGAGACUGGAGUACUUGGUGUAGCAGUGAAAUGCGUAGAUAUCAAGUGGAACACCAGUGGCGAAGGCGAGUCUCUGGACAUUUCCUGACGCUGAGGCACGAAAGCCCAGGGGAGCAAACGGG
rnacentral:rRNA from 1 species